AAGAAAUUGAAAUAAGAAAGAAGAAGAAAUCCUUUUAUUAGUCUCCACAUAAUCUCUCUUCCCCUCCACCAUAACUUAACGUAGCCCAGCCCAAGCCCAGGUCCAAUUGCCUUCACUUGGGCCCCAAAUGAACUGCACGACCUUUGCCUUUCACUUUCAAAGCCUGCGAGCAGUCACAAAACCGUUGCCGGAUCAGGUCCGCUCAGUUAUUUGCAAAUCAAUAGAACGUGUUGAUGCGUUUGUGAUGUAAAUUUUGUGAAUUGGGUUGUGCACUGAAUGUGUUUGAUGAAAUGGGUGAAAGAAAUGUCGUUCCUUAAACCAUAGUUAUCAGUGGGUACUCGAAGAGGGUGUUUCAGGAGUAGGCAAAUAAGGUCACUGUGGUUAGUUUCCAUCUUGGAUUACAUUGAAAGGGAUUGAAUAUAAGCAGACGUUUAGCUGAAAUGUUGCAGAAUUGGGCAUGAACUUGUGUUAUUGUCUUUCUACUGGCUGAUGUGCGAGCUAUGAAUCAGUUGCUUGUUGCUCAUACUCUGAGAAGAAAAUUGCACAUUUUCUGAAGAUUCUGUGAAGGAUGAUGUCUUGCUGGAACUGGGGCUUAUGGUAUAUUAUUUGCCAAGUCUUUCUUCAGCAAUGAACUGGUUCCUUCAAGAGACUUCCAAUUUCUGAGGAUGGGAUGGUCUACAAAUACAGGAUCUGGUUGAUAUCCAGGGGAAUAAUAUUUUGAGAAAGUCGUGACAACUAGAGUUUCAGGGCGUGACAGUAAGAUGGUGUGAAUGGGUCACUGCUGUCGCAUAACUCGUAUUUAUGAAUUUUUGCUGCAGUUUUGUUAAGAUCAAUUUUGUUAAAAAGUGGUAUUGUGCUCGCCAAGUUGUAUAAAGUACAGAGACAUAUCAAUUUAGGCUUGGGUGCGCACGGGCGCCUAAGCGAGCUUGAACCAUCUUUACGGGGCUGCACGGCACUAGAAAUGGGGAAGCAAACUGCUAAAGCAUACUUACUAGUGAAGAGACUAGAUCGGGUCAUAACUCGGUAUCUAAAUCCACUUUAGAUGACACUGAGGAUAGGAUUGUAAAACUUCAAACUAACUCUUUCCUUUCUCGAUAACCCCCCUCAACCUCUCUCUUUUCCGUUAGAACUGUAAAUCUUGCACCUAUAUAUGACUGCUGCUCACUUUAAAAUGCUAAAGUGCCAAAAAGAACACAUAAAAUUUCCGGCACUUGCUGAAACAUUGAGAGAGAAUAUGAUGUAUUUGUGUUUAACGGUGGGGAGUGGUGGUCCAAAUUUAACGUGAAAACAAGUGAAGGAUAAUGACACCUGCUGUACAAUUCCUCUGUCAUUAUUUACGAGGUUCGUGUCUAUCAUUGAGCAGCAUGCUCCAACACCUGCUGUACUCUAAGAUACUCCA